rnacentral:rRNA from 1 species
AGCAGCCGCGGUAAUUCCAGCUCCAAUAGCGUAUAUUAAAGUUGUUGCAGUUAAAAAGCUCGUAGUUGAAUUUCGGGAUCAAUACGUCGGUCGUGCUUCGGUACGUACUGGCGUCAUUGAUUUCUUCCUUCUGACGAACCAUGAUGUCAUUAACUUGGUGUCAUGGGAAAUCAGGACUGUUACUUUGAAAAAAUUAGAGUGUUUAAAGCAGGCUCACGCUUGAAUACAUUAGCAUGGAAUAAUGAAAUAGGACGUUCGAUCCUAUUUUGUUGGUUUCUAGGAUCAACGUAAUGAUUAAUAGGGAUAGUUGGGGGCAUUAGUAUUCAAUUGUCAGAGGUGAAAUUCUUGGAUUUAUUGAAGACUAACUACUGCGAAAGCAUUUGCCAAGGAUGUUUUCAUUAAUCAAGAACGAAAGUUAGGGGAUCGAAGACGAUCAGAUACCGUCGUAGUCUUAACCAUAAACUAUGCCGACUAGGGAUCGGAUGAUGUUAAUUAUUUAAUGACUCAUUCGGCGCCUUACG